AACGAACGCUGGCGGCGUGGAUAAGACAUGCAAGUCGAACGGAACUUUCAGCUGUAGCAAUACAGUUGAAAGUUUAGUGGCGAACGGGUGCGUAACACGUGGGCAAUCUGCCGAGAAGUGGGGGGAUAGCUCGCCGAAAGGCGAAUUAAUACCGCAUGUGAUCAGGAAAGACAUCUUUCCAACAUUAAAGCCGGGGUUAAACCUGGCGCUUCUUGAUGAGCCCGCGGCCUANCAGCUAGUUGGUGAGGUAACGGCUCACCAAGGCUUUGACGGGUAGCUGGUCUGAGAGGACGACCAGUCACACUGGAACUGAGACACGGUCCAGACACCGUACGGGUGGCAGCAGUCGAGUAAUUUUUCNCAAGUCGGGGAAACCCUGAAGGAGCGACGCCGCGUGGAGGAU
rnacentral:rRNA from 1 species